rnacentral:lncRNA from 1 species
UUCAUGUCGCAGACUUGCCACAGACAUCUGAUCACUCCGCCACUGCUUCUCAAGUUCUGGGGUGAGAGACUCAAGUAGAAAAUGGCAAAAGAAAGAUGACUGAGAUGGCUUUCGAAUGCACCAACCUCCUGUGCUGCCGACAUGCCAAGUGCUCUUUGUAAGAAUUUCUAGCUCAGCCCAGCUCAGAGUGACUGGUAUCACCCUGAGGUCACAGGAAGGCUGCAUCCCUGCACCUUCAGAAGAAGAUGAAGACGACCUUGGAGAGGUUCAGAAACUGAACAUCUGGGCACUGUCAGCUGAAGCCAGACAGCGUGAAUGCAGUCAACACACCCUCUGCCAGGAUGUCUAGGCCUCCUGGGCAGAAGGGCCUUGCUGGCUCCAGUGAUGUUAUUAUUGAAGAGGGUUCUUGAGUUUCUUACCUGGCAAGAUCACAGGAAAAGUGGGUUAGGCAGAAUUGCAGACCAUUGUUGACAGCCUCGGUCAGAGGAGGAAACAGAAACCGAGGGAAGAAAGUCAGGGGAUAGAGGGGUUCAUGUGGGAAUAGUUUCAGUUUGUUUCUGGAACAUCUCCAAAAGGUCUGUAUGCUUUGCUUGCCAGUAGGUGGCGCCACUGGGAGGGGAUGGAACUUAUAAAAAGUGCAAUUUCUUUGGAUGGAAGUUGGGUUCUUGUUGACAUGCCCUAGCAGGUGAUGUUGCUGCCUGCAACUCUUCCUCCUGCUCCUGUUCCUUCUCCUGUUCCUCCUCUUCUCAUUCUUCCUCCUUGUUCCUGUCCAGCACAAAUCAAGCAGCUUUAUUCUACUCAUGCUCCCUACCAUAACAUCAUCCUUUGUCUUAGGCCUCUCCCCUCACUAUAGUCCCACAAGCCAUGAGGCCAACCAAGAACGAACUGAAGUCUGAAACCAUGAGCCAAAUUGAGUUCUCCCCGACCUUUUUUUAAAAAUUAUUCAAUUUUUAUAUUUUAU